rnacentral:lncRNA from 1 species
GGAUGGAAAGCCCGCCUCUGGGAAGGAAGUGAAAUUUGGGCAAGAGAAGACUUCUAAACUCUCAAGAGAUACGAGGUAAUGAAAGCCCUUGGAAGAUAGGCGUUCCAAUUUUGGGAAAUCUGAAAUUCUAAUCCAAGUCAGAGAAGUCGGCAAUAUCACUCCCUUCUCUACCUCAGGAAAAGACACAGCAUCUGAGCAUCCAUUAAUGCAGAGUUUCCUAAGAGAGGUCAACUUGUGAAAGCCCCAGUUGACGAGUGGCUUAUAGAUAUUAGCACCUGAAAUUUCAAGGUACGUUAGGUUGGUGGAUAAACCCUCUUCCGGAAAGAAUACAAUGCCUGGACAUUUCUUUAGGGAUAAUUCUUGAAGAGAGCUGAUUUUGCCGGUUGGUAGAGGGCCUUUAAGUUUAUCACACUCUUCGAUUGAAACGUCUACGACACUGCUGGGAAGCGCAUCUUCUGGCAGAGAAACUAGAUUAUGACAACCUUCGAUACUUAUCCGAUGAAGAUGGCUAAGAUUGUUCAAGCCUUUUGGUAACGAUUUAAGAUUAUCACAACUCGAUAUCAAAAUAGAUCUAAGACACGCAUCAUCAUAGAAUCUCUCCGCUAUAGACUCUAGAUUUGAACAAUUAGAAAUUGUCAGCUCUUCGAUCGCCACAGGUAAUUGGCAUUCUGAUGUCAGCACCUUGAAAUUAUAACAACACCAAAUUUCAAGGCGUUUGAGUGUAAUGGGUAACCAGCCUCCGGUCCAUAAGCAAGUGAGCAAUGGGCAGCGGAAGACAGAUAAGCUCUCAAGAUCAAGACAUGUGCUGCUGCUGUUGAUGGUUUUCUCCAGCACCGAAGAAGAAGUACAACUAUUUUCUCUAUCAUCCAACACACACUGCAGUGUCUCACAAUGUCGUAUAUCAAUUGAUUUCAGAGAUGAAGGUAGCUGCCCUCUUGAAAUGGAUGUUAAAGAAUGACAACCUUUGAUUCGCAGGACUUCAAGUCGUACAUUGUUGUGUAUCAUUCCAUCAGUUAAGGAUGUUAGAGCACAGCAAUCUUCGAUGGUAAUUUUUCUCAAAUUGGAAAGAAAGCAGGCCUUCGGAAGCGAAACAAAAGUUGGACAAUUCCCGAUAAGUAGGUCUUUAAGGCAGGUGAGGCUGUGCAGCCCUUGUAGUGGCUUCCCCAGGCAAAUCUCAUUUACAAACCCUUCGCAACCAACAAUCUCCAGAUGCUCUACAUUCUGAAACUUUUGACUAGACCAAUUUUCGAACUCUGAAAUAUUCCAAAGAGUCAUUUUGUUCAGUGACUUGGACUCAGAUAGACCAUCGCACACCAGCCUUUUGCAUCCAUCAAUUUUCAAUUUGCAGAGAGCUGGAACACUUGGUAAUGAUAUCACCAACUGCCUGCAUUCAGUAAUCACAAUUUUCUCCAAAGAAGGAAGAUGAUUAGGUAGUCGUCCAGAGAGUUUGGGGCAUUUAUGUAUGAAAAGCUUUUGGAGACGAGGGAAUGCCUGAACAUGCUCAUCAUUUUCAGUGUUAGGUUCCCAUUUCUCCCAAACUUGCAAAUCCUCAAAAUAUAAAGUCUGCAAUGAUGGAAAAGGUUUUGAGCAACAUUCCCCAUAAAUCUCCGAACCAAUGCCUUUUAAUGUCGACAUGCGUACGAUGGUGAGAUCUUUUAGCGAGCACAAUUGUCCUAGCGAGGGCAAGGAUGUGCUUCUUCGGCAAUUUUUCAAUAUUAGGACCGCAACAUUGGAAAACGAUGGAUCUCCUAUCCAAGACGGAAACCUUGUACCACCGUAAGAAUUGAUUACAAGCCUUUUAAUAUUACCGUGAGGCUUCAGCAUGUCAAGAAUAUUCUUUUCUCUAACCUCAUCUACUGAGUCGCCAUCACGUCGUGCCCUCCAUUCUAACUUCAAGACUUCUAGGUCUUUCUUCACUCUUAACAUAGCCUCAUUUGCUUCUUGUGAAUCGAUGACAUUCUCCAGUCCUGAAAUGCAAAGUCUUCCUCGAAGAAACUUCCAAUUCUUCAAAUCUUUCAAAGCACAUCCGCUAUCUUUGCCAACAAUAAAAUUAGUCAAAGUCCGAAGACAUUUUAAUUCUUUCAUUCCUAAUGGUAACUCACAUAACCGAUUUGCACCAUCAAUAUCAAGAUGAUAUAAAUUAACCAAAUUUCCGAUACUUGAUGGCAACUUCAAGAGAAGCCGGCAAUCGCUCAAGAUCAAAAUUUCUAAAUUGAAAAGUGAGGUAAUUGCCUCGGGCAAACAUUUGAUCCAACUCUCAGAAAAGUUGAGAUACCGUAGAUGUUUUAAACAUCCUAUUGAUGUGGGAACCUCGGAUAUACGGUAUCUUCCCAAAGAUAACACCCUCAACCUUUUACACUUCGGUAGCAAAUCAGAUAUAACCAUGGGACUAAUGUAGCCAGCAGGAGAAAAAAAGCAUUCUUCUACAAAUAUUGGCAAGAAUGUCCUCAAAUUCUCAACUUUGUCGAGAACUUUAAAUUUAUUCAUCCCAUCACAUCGAACGCCCAUCCCAUCACAAUCACCACUGCGGACGUACGAAGAAUGACGAACCUUUUCAAAUACAUUUGACUGUCUAUCCACCGAAAAUUGAUCGUCCAAUCUAAAGCAUGUUUCACCAGAAGCCCAUUGAGCCAAAUCAUGUACAAGGUCAUGCAUCACAAAUUUAGAUCCGCUGUUACUUGAUUUUUGGAACAAGGAUCUUGACAAGAGAUCAUGAAAAUACUCACUGCCCAAAUCAUCUGCUUGUUUACGGUCCUUAGAUUGUUGAAUAAGACCUUCUGCAAUCCAUAAAAGAACGAGUUCCUCCUCUUGGAAUUCAUAAUCCUUCGGCAAAAUUGCACAAUAGGCAAAACAUCUUUUUAAAUGCGAAGGAAGAUGGUGAUAGCUUAACUUCAAAACAGAAGGAACCUCAGUUUCAUCCUCUAAGUCCCAUAUUUUGCUGUCUAAUAUAGCUCUCCACUCAUCAACUCUCUGCUUAGAUCCAAGAAGACCACCAAGAGCCCUUGCUGCCAGAGGUAGACCUUUGCAUUUCUCAACAACCCUUUGACGAGUUGACUCGAAAUUUCCAUGUGUGCCAGCAUCUCUGCUGUCAAAUGCAUGAGCUACGAACACCGACCAGCAAUCAUUAUCAGAGAGAAGCUUCAGCCCAUAAUAUUUAACAGGUCCCAUUUUUGAGGCGACAUCCCGGCUUCGAGUAGUCACAAUUAUCCUGCUGCCGGGUGCUCCAGCCAUGAAGGGAGAUUUUAGAGCAUGCCACAAUUCAUACUUCUUGUCCCAAACAUCAUCCAAGACAAUCAAAAACUUCUUCUUAAGCAGAGCUUCCUUCAGCUUAAGCUGCACCGAAUUCAAAUCCUUCAGAUCACAAGAGGAGAGCGUGAUCGACUCCAGAAUAGCCUUGGAGAUCCUGAGAACAUCGAAGUCAUCAGAAACACAAACCCAAGCUUUGGGUUUGAAAUCUUCCACUCUCUUGUCAUUGUACACCUCCUGAGCAAGUGUUGUUUUCCCGAUACCUCCCAUACCCACAAGGGCUAUUACUCGAAAGUUGGCAGCAUCACAAGGAUCAUUCUUUAACACCAUAUCAAGUACCCUGGCUUUCUCUGUAUCUCUCCCAUAAACAGCAGGUUCGCUUGUUAAGCAGGUGGUGGGUGGUCUUUGCCUUACUGCAGCAGUAUGCGCUGACCCUCCAGCAAUCUUUUCCAAUCCAAGAUCAGUUCUCCUUUCACAGAGUUCUUCAAGCCUGCUACUGAUUUCUUCCAUCUUAGACCUCGUGCUAAUACCGGCCAUAAUACUACUUGCACCAGAGGAAAAGCCUUGGAUGAGGCUACGAAACGUGCUAGAGCUGGCUUCAUGUUUCUUCAACAAUCUCAGCCCGGCUUCAGCAGCAAACUCAUCGAGUAUGUCCUCUGCAUCGUAAGCCAAGUCUCGGAGAUCAUCCAGCCACAGCUUCACAGCCCUGUCACUCAGCUGCUUCUCCUCUGCAUCGAUCAGCACUGCCUCAAUUGUCUUGAGUGUUUCCUCCCACUUUUUCAGCUUUGCACGGACACCCUCUUGGCCGGCUAACUUCAGCAACUGAGGGGACAUUAAUUUUUCGAACAACGCCUGAAGAAAGGCAGAAAGAAAGAGCUCCGCCACAGGCAUGGCUUCUUUUUUUUUGGGGGAGGGGAGGUGCUUUUGCAAGUCCAAAAAGAGAGAGAAAAUCAGAAGAAUUCAGACGGGUUAUCACACAAAAGAGAAGAAUGAAAGCAAUAACCAAAAUAAUAAUAUUUAAGAUUCUAACAUUUAAAUAGUAAAUUAAUUUUUAAUAUUAUAUGUCGCUCAUCUAUUAUUUAUCACUUAUUAUUUUAUUCUACUAUGUAAUUAAUGAGUACCACGUCAAUUAGAAUAUGGGUCAAAUAUUGAAUUUCUAUUAUUACCCUUUGCAAAAUGGCAUCACUGGACAAUCUAACCAAUAAUUUACGUAAUCAAAAAAAAAAAACCAAUAAUUUACAAAGUUAAAUUAAAAAUUUAAAAGCUGCACAAAGAGGAUCAAGUUAAUGUCAUUACAACAUUCUAAGCAACUUUAUAUGCCAUACUAAUAUUUUUUACAAAUAAAUAAAAAAUUAUUUAAUUCAACUUUUUUUUAAUAAUGAUAUACAAUUAAAAUCUAUUUAUAUUUCUAUUCGCGGGCUGGAUAUUUCUACCCCAUUGAUAUUCAUGAAUAUAUCUAUUUUACUCAUUUUAGUGAGAUAUAGCCAAAUAAUAAGAUGUUAUAUUGAGUAGAACAAGGCACCAUACUCCUAUCAUCCGUGUUAAAUGUUUAGGAAAUUUGUAAAAAUAACUCAAAAACUUUUACAAUUUUCACAAUUAACCCUCCAAUUUUUUUCCUAUCAACAUUAGCCAAACACAAGAUUUUCUCUCCAAAUUACCCUUAUUUACAAAUCAAAAACAACUUUCAUUCUCCCCCUUUAUCAAACCGAACACAGCCUUGCACUCUUGAAUCAUCACCGGCGAUGGCGAACAGUAAAAGUGAACUCCGAUCAAAUAUAGUAUAAUCCAUCUCGAUCCAACACUAAUCCGUAUCACGAGUGAUAAGAGGUAUUUUCUCAAUUUGUGAGAGUUUCAGUGCGAUUGCAUCUUAGUGCGACAGGCACCUAUCGCACGAUUUUGGUGCGACAGGUAACAUGCAGAUUUACCCGAAUCUGCCUUUUCGUGCGACGGCCAUGCGUGUCACACCAAAAUCGCACCAAGGGAAAGAUUCAUUGUAACUCACUCUUGGUGCGACAAUGCGACAAGCAACCUGUCGCACCAACAUACAAUUAUUUUUUUAUAAUGUUAUAUAUAAAAAUUUAUUCUCUUUAUUAGUUUGAUAGUGCGUAAUUAAAUUUUUUUAAUAAUUUCAUGCUUAAUGGAUUCAGUUUUUUUACUCUCCUUUGCAUCCGGCUCAAGGGUUUGUAAAAUGUCCCCCUGCCAUGAAUUCAACCCAAAAUUUUAAGUGUACAGAACUCGAAUUUAGUAAUGUCAAAAAUAGUACUAUAUGUCUACCAAUGCAUAUUACUUACAAGACGAGAUUCGUCAUUCAAGAAUGAAUAAACAUCAGCAAAGUUUAUUUUAGAAGAAGCCAUGGGGUUCCAUUGCACAAUACAGGGAAUCUUUUUCUUCGAUUUCACACCCAUGCUGACAGCAGAUCUCCGAUCGCUUCGUAAAUCCAAGCCUACAAUAACCAAAGUGAGAAAGCUAUUAAAACUACUAUUAAAUAUUUAAUGUUACAAAACUUAUUAAUAAAAAAAACAAUGCACCUGAACCCUGGAUGUAAAGUCGUAAACAUUGUACUUUUCUAUUUUAUGAUUUGGCUUUUCCAACUAAGUUGUCUUAAAUUUCUCGUCUUUCUCAUUCAGUGCAUUGUCAAGACUCUCGUAUAUCGUUUCCCACGACAAACGAGCCCAUGGAUGAUUUCAGAAGUGAUCUAUAUCAUCUACUUCGUUAAGCCAUGAGAAAUAGAUUUGAAAGUGGCAUUUUCUUCCAUUUAAUGCGACAAUGUCGUCCAUAGCCUCAAAGUCCAACUCCUUAAAUAAUGCAUCGAAUUGCUUAAGAUUAAUGUUGCGAAACAAACCAUCAAAAUACUUAUUCAGUAGCCUAUGCACCGUUUUAUUAUUUGUUAGUGCGGUAUCUACACCAUAGGAAAGUCCAGUAACCAGACAUCAUUCUCCAAUUGACAAGUGUAUCAAAUGCUCACCAAUUUGAAACCAUAACUGAUCCUCCCCCCCGGUAUUCUCCAUGGGCCACUUGCCGAAGCAAAACAUUGUGCAAAAUUACACCACUGAACGGAAAGCUUCGGCACUCCAAGAAAUGUCCAGCUAUGUCGUCCUUGAACAGACACAACUGUCGUUUUGUUAAUUUUUGCUCGAUGGCUUUUACGACUGUAGAAAAGUUACACAUGCUCGAAAUUCACCCCGGGAAGUGAUCGGCAUAAGCUAACUCCAUCCUACCCAGUUUGUUUCUCUAUACUUCUGAUUUCGCCAUGUAUCUAUAAUAUUUAUAACAUUAUUACAUUGCAUUUAUAACCAAAAAAAAAAAAAUUGACUUCACGUAAAAAAACACUGUAAUUUGGUGUGAUAGGCUGCUUGUCGCGCGCGCGAUAGGCACGAUGUAGAGCGUGCGCGGCGCAAGUUGCACCUGAUGGCAAAUCGUGAGCCAAGAAGCCUCCUCCUCCACAAUUUCCCAACUUCUUCACCCAUGCACCACACCAACACUUCACCCAUGCACUCAACAUCACAAACCCUUCAAUCUUCACUCACCAUCACCAACACAACACAAAAACCAAAACAUAAAAGAAGAAUAGAAAAUAGAAAAUUAUGGUUUUUGACCUAACUUUUAAUUUCAGCUUUUGACCGGAAUUUUGGUGAUGUUGGUUGCCGAGAAUGACUCCGGAAAGCCGUUGGCGAUGAGUGAACAUGUUGGGAGAGAAUUCGGCGGAGAGAGAGAGAGAGAGAGAGAGAGAGAGAGAGAGAGAGAGAGAGAGAGAGAGAGAGAGAGAGAGAGAGAGAGAGGAGUUAUGGGAGGGGUAGUUUCGGCACUAGGGAGGACUUUUGGCUAAUGUUGAUAGGAAAAAGUUUAGAUGGCUAGUUGUGAAAAUAACAAAUUUUUUGGGUUAUUUUUAUAAAAUUCCCUUAAAUCUUGAUAUUAGUGUUGUUAAGUUUUGUUUUCAAUAUUAUCGUUAGAGGACAAAACUAUCUUGCAACCGUGGUUCCGUACCACAAUAAUGCUCUAUUACACAAUAGUCCUUCUAAUAAAAAUUGCAGGUUUUGAAAUUUUAAUAUAUAAGCCCUAAUUUAAAAAUUAUUUGUUAUUUUCUCUCUCUUAUUUUCCAUGGUUUAAUAUUAAUCCUGGUUUUUUUUUCUCCUCCACGCUUCUUUUUUUUUUUAUCUGGUUUCUUCUUUUCUUUCUUUUUUUUAAUAGAAUUUCGUAGAUAAUUUUUUGUAUUUUUGAAUUUUCAAAGACAAUAAGAGGAUUUAUUAAAAAAAAGAAAAGAAAAUAAAAAUCAAUCAAUUGGAUUUGAUCUAAUAUUUGCUGUGUUUGACCUCUUCGCUUUAAGUUGACUUUGUUAUAGUAAUUGGGUGGUCUUCUCUCAAAGAUAAAAAGCUUAUUUGGCUUAUUUUUGAUACAAUCAAUUGGUUUAAUGAUCAAAUUUUGCCAACUGAAUCUGAGUUAUCCUAAGAUUUUAAAAAUCUUGUGACACUUGGCCUUUACUGUUAUUAUAUGAAUAGGUUAUAAUUAUCUUUAUUUUUUUAAUUCAUUAACUACCAAUUACUUAGUGAAUUUUUUCUUGGAAAACAUUACAUCAUAAUAGAUUCCUAAUUUAACUACCUUAAAUCACAAAGUUUCAAUCAUUAACGUUAGAAAGAAAAUCUUGUUGAAAGUUUAUUAGGAUUUAAUUACCUUUAUUUGAAUUCGAUUGAAACGUGCAAACACAAACAACUUACCCAUCUCAACUCGUAUAAUUAUUAUGAUUAUUAAAAGAUGAAACCAUAAAUUUUUUGCCUAAAAUGAAAGAAGUUUAACCAAACAUUGAUUAACUCUUUUAAGCUUUGACUAAUCAGACAAACUUUACUUUAUUUGUUUCUAGCCCUUCUACCUAGAAAAAAAACUUUUUCAAUUUUCAUUUUGGUUCAUAAAAAUCAAAUCGACAAAUCUAUUAGAAAUCUUUACAUGAAGUUUAUCAUUAUUAAACUCAUUAUAAGUCUCUACAAAUUUUACCAAUAAACAUAAAACAAUAAGGAAAAUACUACUCUGCUAAUACUCAUCUCCAUUAUGUUCCCAUAAAAAAAAAACUAGAGUAAUAAAAACAUUUGAUAUUGUGUACUUUCUCAAUUGUAUGGAUAAUUAAUUAUAGAAGUAGAUAUGAAAAUAAUAAUAAUAAUUAUAGAAUUAUAAAAUAUUGAUGUAUUUGUGGAAUAAAUCAAGAGAUUUGUCUUUCUAAAGUUCAUAGGCUUUAUUGUAUUGAAGAAGUUGUGGCUCUCAUGGAUGCGCAACUAAAUCGUGCAUUAUAAUUACCCAAUAUCAAUAAUAAAAAUCCUCUCAAAAUUCCCUAUAUCUUCCUUACUCAUAUUAUUUAAUAACUUAGUAAAUAAAUAAAAUAAACAACUAAGAUAGAAAGAAAAAAACAUGAAAGUCAAAAUUCCCUAUAUCUUCCUUACUCAUAUUAUUUAAUAACUUAGCAAAUAAAUAAAAUAAACAACUAAGAUAGAAGGAGAGAUGAGGAUGACUAUUGAUGGGGUGGGAGAGUAAAAUAAUAAUUAUUAUAUUCUUUCUGAUAUUUUAGAAAACUAGAGGGAUUGCGAUGUUAAUUACCUAAGUAAAUACAUCAUACCGUUGCUUUUACUUUUGCAAUUCUUUCGUUGGAUCUAACGGUCAAGUAAAAAAAAGACAAAAAAAGGUGGUACCAUACCACUGUAGUGACUUAGCUGAACCUUGUCGUUAGACCCUACUUAUAACCUUAAACUUUUAGGUCAAAUAGUUUUUAAAUUCCUAAAUUUAUUAUAUAAUUGUAUUUAUGCAGUUUCUUAGUGCUCAUUCUUUACACGUUUAAUAUAGAGUGAAAAUACAUAUAUAUUUUUAAAUUUUUUAGUUCACUUUAAAGCUCUUAUUUUUCAGCAAAUUUCUUUCUUAAUUCUUAGUCAACAUCUUAAAAAAUUUAUUAAGACUCAUUUUAAAUAUUAUUAUUGUUCCGGUGUUCCCUACCUAACUUAAAGUUUCAAAAUAAACAGUUGCUCGAAGACAGACACCCAUCUACAUAGCUAUCAUUGGGGACAAAAAGUUUCUUAUUAUUAAAAAUUUACGACUCUCUUUUUGAAAAAAAAAAAUUAUUUAGUACUUGUGUGAGUGAUGCACUUAACACUCUCAUAUAAACAAUUUGUCUUGAUUGGAGAAGGCUCUUGGAAAUCAAUGGAAUUAAAAUUUUUCUUGUUAUAGGAAUCAUGUGGACUCCAGCAUGGUCUAAAACGACGGCCCUUGCAGCCUUUUUUUUGUUUGCUUUGAAUUACUUUUUUAUUUAAAAAAAUAAAAAAAGAAAAUUGCGAAAGGGUUGUGACAUUUCCCGCGGGCCCACACUUUUUCUAAAGUCGCUCAUUUCCACACGUUUUCUUUGCUUUAGAAAUCAAAGAAAUUCCACACUUUUUUUAAUUUGGAAAAAGUUAAAAAGUUGGAAAAUGCUAUUUACUCGGAUCAAAUCCCGAAGCUAAUAAACGAUGUAGUUUUAAUUUUUUUUUUCUUUUCAUUCUUCCUAAAAUGACGUGGUUUUAGCUUGAUUAAGGUAGCAAUGAUAGUCUCAAAUUGCUUUCUUUCCUCUUUGUCUUACUCUCACCAUAGUCAUUCUCCUUAUAUUUCUCUGUAAAACCACUGCUUUCUUCCCCUUCGUUUCACAAUUGGCAGCCUUGACUCUCUUGAGAUGAGUCAGUGCUGUAACAACCCUUGACAAGUUAAUUAAACUCAAUAAUGGAAGUACCAGUUACAGCCUCUGUGUCAGCAGCAGUUCCUGCACCGCAAAAAUAUAUUUGGAGCCAUGUAAUGAAUUUUCUCACAAUUCUUAUCACAAACAAUGGGUUGUUCAGUUGCUCUGUGAUGAGCACAUAAUAUAUACAUAUUUUACCCUUAAUUCUAUAAUUAUUAGUUAUUUUUAUUUAUUAUUUUUAAUUAAUUAAAUUAUUUUAUUAAAUAGGGUAAUAAAUUGAAGAUUGGGAAUAAUUUAUGCUUAAAGGGAUCAAAGCAAGAGAGAGUUGAAGAUUGUUCAUGCUCGUUGCCGUGGUGAUAAAGUCAAAAGAAGAAAAAAAAACAAUUAAAUUGAUUGGCCGAAUUAAUAGCUAAAGGACAUGACAAAUAUUAGCCAAAUUAAAAAGGAAUGAAAAUUCCAAGUGGAGUGCACGUGAGUGAAGCCAAAGCACAUUAAAAGGGCUUGGCCUUCCGCUUAAGAGCAUCUUCAAAAACUUCUAUAAAUUUUAUUCUUCAAAUAACUAUUUACUUACCUAUGAGGUAAAUAGAAAGGUGAAAAAAUAUGAUAUUUUCUAAAAAACUCUUCAAAUAAAAAUAAGUUAAUAUUAUUUUAAUCAUAUAAUUAGUUUUUUAAAGGAAAAAUUAAUAGCAAUUAAAACACUUCUCUCUUUUUCUUCAAUGAAAAAUAAUAAAAUAUAAAUUGAAGAGGGAGAAAUUAACUCUCCAAAUUUGAAGAGAGAUAAUCAAUUCUUAUUUGAAAAAUCUUAAUUGGAGUGUCUUUUGGAGCUUUAAAUAUUAAUGUGGCUCUUCAAAUAAGUAAUAAAAUCUUAUUUGAAGAGCCUUUUGGUGAUGCUCUAAGAGUUGGAAAAGUCGGUGGGGCCUAUUUUACAGACUAUAUAAGAAAGUUGAACUUUGGCUUUUGGAGGAGGGAAGCCGCCAGAGCAACGAAAAAGAGCAGACGCGAUUCGGCAGAGAAGACAGGAGCGGCAACAACAGUUCAAUAUUUCCAUGGCUGUUUUUAUUUGCUUUGUUGCUUCUUAUUCAAGUAUGUUUAACUAAUUUUCUUAUAUUGAGGUUAAGAAUGAAAUUCUAUUUUAUAAAAUAAUUAUCUUUUUAUUUAAUUUAAUUUCCUACAUAUGUUCUUUUGAUGAUUUCACCAAUUCUGUCAUGCAUUAUUGAUUGUUAGAAUUAAUAUUUGAUUAAAUCUAUGCUUGGGUCUAUAAAGUUUAUAUAUGAUUAUCUUUGAUUCUAUAUUUUUCAUUAAAUUAUUUACACAGAGUGCGUAGAAAAUAUUUGACUCUUUAUUAUUCAAUUCGUUUACAUAGGAUGCUUAGAUAUCAUACUAUUAAGCAGAAAAUAAACCUACACAAUAUUAAUUUUAUUUGGACUUAAUUGUGAUAUCUAUGAGAUGACAUAAAUUGAUUUCGAGUUGUCAUUCUAAAAUUGGAGAUUAAUUAAUAAUUAAGUAAUUACUAGUUGAAUAGUGGUGGAUUCUGAAACCUUGAUAAUUUUUGUCUUAUUAAAUUCUCCUUUGUUUUAAUUGUUUUCUUAGUUUAAUUGGUUUAAUUUUAUUAGAAACUCAAUUUAUUCAACUAGGUUAGGAUUAAUAAUAAUUUUAGAUUUAAAUUAACUUUUCAAUUUAUAACAAUUCAUGUGGGUUCGACCUUAUUACCACUAUUCUAUUUCUGGAUUCGUGCGCUUGCGAGUAUAUUAUAAUUUUUCACAACACUCUCGUAUCUGCCCCAAGAAUGAAGCCAUCCUAUGAAAAAAAAAAAGGACAAAUAAGAAUAAGAUAAGCAUUCCUGAACUGUUUUGAUAGGAGCAUUAUCUAACAGGAUGGAUAUGCUGCAAAAGCGUGCAUAUUUUUAUCCUUAUAAUUUGAGAAAGUGUCAAGUGCCGUAAAACCAUAGGCCACGCUAGUUGGCAAUCAUCUUCAAGGAAACCGUCACAAAUUCCCCUAUUUAUAAUGGCAAUCCACUCUCCCAAACCAAAAAGAACACAUUGACAUGAUAACAAAUACAUAUAUUCCACUUUCAUAUUUCAUCUAAUUAUAACUUCUUUCCGGUGGAAGUCUGAAAUAAUUCCCUUAUACAUUCUUCAUCAUCCUUGAACCAAUCAUUUACUGCAAUAUUUUUAAACGAAGGGGAAGAAAGCAGUGGUUUUACAGAGAAAUAGAAGGAGAAUAAUUAUAGUGAGAGUAAGGCGAAGAAGAGAGAAAGCAAUUUGGGGCUGUCGUUGUUGCCUUAACCAAGCUAAAACGACAACGUUUUAGGGAGAAUGAAAGGAAAAAAAAAAAGGAUUGAAACAGCAUCGUUAAUUGACUUUGGGGUUUGACCCGGGGUAAAUAGUAGAACUCUAAAAAAUUUGGUUCUUAAACAUAAAAGUACUGUACGCGCUUUUUAAAAAGAUUAGGCUCAGAGUUAUUGGAAGAAUUCCUUAUUAGGUUUCCUUAUACAUUCAAGAAAUUUAUUAUUAAAAAGUAAUUUUGGUAUUUAGAUAUAAUAUAAAUUGCGGUGUUAUAUAUUAUAGAAAAAGUGGGGCUAUAUUAAAUCUAUGAAAUUUCCCCCUAUAUCUAUUUAAAAAAUAAAUUCAUUAUCUUGAUAUUCAUUAAUUUUUGUAUUUGGUAAAAAUUAAUUUGUUGAUGCUAAUUAACUUUCAUAACUGAUAAAAAUUUAUUGAUGUUUAUUUUUAAAUGGUGAAUGUUGUUUCUCUUUGUUAGUGAUACUAAUUAUUUAUAGUUAAAAAAAAUCUAAAUGAAUUGAUGAAAAUUUGUGAAAUUAACAAGUGGAAGAGAAGAAAUCGUUAGUUAAAUAUUUUUUUAAAAAUUAUUUAGAUAAUAAAAUUUUUAAUUACAAAGAAGACAUUAGAGAGAAAAUUAAUAGAUUCGGGUGCGUUUGGGAGUGAGAUGCUGUAACAUUUAAACUACAAUUGCUGUAGUUAGGGGCGGAUGCAGUAUAGGACCAGUGGGGCCUGUAGCCCCCGCUGGCUAAAAACAAAUUCUAAGAAUAAAAGAAAAAAUAUUUAAGAUUUAUAAUUAGCCCCCAUUAAAUCUAUUAAAAUUGACCUAUAAAUUUAUAUAUGAACUCACAAAAUUUAAACUUUAACUUUUAGAAUUAUAAAAGUCUACACUAUAAUUAAAAAUAAUGAUAGGUCACCACCACAAAUAUUUUUCUAUUCUUGAAAAUACGUCGAGAACAAUUAUAAAUGUAUUAAAAAAUAUUUUAUACAUUCAAAGUUUUAGUUUUAAAAUUUUACUAUUAUAAAAUCUAGCCCCCAGUAAAUUAUUUUUCUAGAUCCGCCACUGACUGUAGAGAAAAAGUUAUAACUGUAGUCUGUAGAGUAGAAGUUGAUAGUGUUUGGUAAAAAUGAUGUAACUUUUAAACUACAACUACUGAUGGUGUUUGGUAAAUUUUAAUAGCUGUGGAGUGGAUGAAUAUUUGUAAUAAUUAAUUUUAUUAUUUUUAAUUGUUUACAAAUCAAAUUAUUUUUCAUACUUUGAAUUAUUAUAUUGACAUACAAUUACGGUUUAUUACUUUUACAUAUUAAAUUAAUAUUUAUUAAAUCAAAUUUAUUUUUUUGUACAAGUUGUAAUAAAUAAAUUUUAAAUAAAAUAAUUUAAAAAUGAAAAAAUAAAUUCUAGUUUUAAAUAUUGAUUGAAGAAAUAAAUUAUAUCAAAUACGUCUAAUAACGAUCAUACAACAUAACAUAAUAAAAUGAAAAUGUAAUUAAUUACAAAAAUCGUAUAAAUAUUUCUAUUGUCAUGCCUCCAUUAAACUCGCAGCAAUGCCAUCUUUCAAGAUUAUUAUAUCUUAAGCCGUGUUAUCAAUUGUAUCAUAACUUUCUUCAUGAUAUGCAAUAUUGCUUAUAUGCAUGCUAAUACUAUGAUUUGGCUCAUCCAUUGUUUCAUCAAAAUGAUCAUGAUUUUGUGAAUAUCUUUUGAUGUAAUCAUGUAAGGCCAUGGUAGCAAUAACUAUCUUCAUCCGCUUCUUGAAUGGGUAACUGGCAAAACAUGUUAACCCGCCUACUUACAUUUUCGUCAAGUAUUUCUACCAACCAUUUAUGCUCUGUUUGAGUAGAAUUCAUACAAGGCUACUAAUGGAUAAAUGUCAAAUAAUAAUGAUGCAUCAAAACAGCCAUUACACAAACAAGCUAGUCAAACUCCUCUUUAUAAUUAUUCAUAUUCUUAUAUCGAAUCUAUAACCAAUUAUCUAAAAUUAUAAUGAGAUAAUUCAAACUACAAGUUGGUCAAAUUCAGACUCCUUCACUCUCAAAGCAGAUUCAUGAUUAGUAAUAAUCUUUUGAAUUUCAUUCUGCAUUGUUAAAAGAAAAAAAAAAUGAGGGGAAUAAUGAAAUAGUUGCACAAGUAGUUGGAUUCAUUUUUGAAAUAUGAAACAGCAUUCAAUAAAAGCGUAAAAAAAAAAAAAAAUGAAAACACAUGGAUCAUAGUUGGCUGAAAACCACAGCAGUGUUUUUGCCGUGUGAGUUUUGCAAUUUUAUUUUAUUAGUGAAUUUCAUAAGUCCCAGUCUAGCGUUGAAUUAUGCAGCAUCGAAUUUUCAUAAGGCAUGAGAUUCUAUUGCCAAUUCUCAUAAGUUCCAGUUUCAUUAAGUUUAUUGGUUGAACACUGUUAGCUUCUUUUUCCUUUCGUGAGAGAGAAAGCGGGGGUGUACUGGAGAGUGGAUAAAAAAAAGAGUAAUGUAGCGCUGCAUACAACUAGUAAUAAUUGUUACGCUUACGCUAGUUAAUGAAGUGAUGGAUAUUACAAUUGUAAAUUCUGGGAAUACACCCUGGCACUUUCCUGAACUCUUUCAAAGAAAUUCAUACAUCAACACAAACAAUUUGAUUUGAAGAAAUUGAUCUACUCUUUCAAAGAAAUCCAUGCACUAGGGUCUUAUAUUUCCACCAAAAAAAUUCCACACGCAACAAAAUAUCAAACAAUACGGGUCCCAACGACGAAAAUCAAGAAUGAAAUUGAUUAUAGGCUUUGAAAAUUCUUUUUCACAUUGACCAGAAGUCUACUGACGGCUCUGUACGUAUGAAUGUCAAGCUGCUGGUCUUUAAUUUAUGCAAGCCAAAUUUCCCACACAGCAAACGAAGAUCAAUAGCACGGGACAUGGAAACAAUGAAAAGUAUGCUUUACAAGCAAAAUUGUCUGCUUGGGCAUGUGGAUUUUGUGAAGGAGAUUAUACGCCAAAAGCUAGAGCUUGCUGGAAAGUCAAGACAUAAUUUUAGAAGACAUAUUAACAAUCAUUUCAAUGGAAACUAAAAGAAUUAUGUGUGUGUGUUUGUGUAAGAAGAAGCUUUUAUUUUUCCUCAAGCAAAUGGUAUUUAGGUCAAAAAGUUUCUAUAUCCCUAAAUUUAUUAAUUAUAUUUGUAUAGUUUCUUAGUGCUAAUUCCUUACACAUUUAAUAUGGAGUGAAAAUACAUUUUUUUUUUAAUUUUCUGAUUCACUUUAAAACACUUAUUUUCCAGUAAUUUUCUUUCUUACUUCUUAGUCAACAUCCUAAAAAAUUUAUUAAAACUUAUUUUAAAUAUUAUUAUGGCUCCUUACCUAACUUAAAGUUUCAAAUUAAACGAUUGCUCGAAGACAUGGUGUCUUAGACACCAAUCUACAUUGGGGACAAAAAAUUCUUAUUAUUAAAAAUUUAUGAAUCUCUUUUUUUUUUUUAAAAAUUGAAGUAAAAAAAAAAAAAAAAACUUAGCACUUGUGCAAGUAAUGCGCUUAACACUCUUAUAUGAACAAUUCGCCUUGAUUGGAGCAGGUUCUUGGAAAUCAAUGGAAUUAAAAUUUUUCUUGUUAUAGAAUCAUGCGGACUCCAGCAUGGUCUAAAACGACGGCCCUUGCAGUUAGGGGUGGGCAAAAAAACUGUAGUCUUAAAAAAAUCGAACCGAACCGAUGGUUUUUUCUAAUUCGGUUCGGUUUUUAUUUUUUAAAAAAACCGAAUAUACCGUUUGUAAAAAAAACCGAAAUGUCGGUUUAGUAUUCGGUUCACUUAGCUGAACCGAAAAACCGAACCGAAAAAUCGAAUUAUUUUUUGAUUUUAUUCAAAUCAAACAUGUGUUAAUAAUUUUAUUCAAAUCAAACAUGUGUUAUUUCUCUUUAUAACAUUAUGAUUAUGUUUAUAUAGAUGGAGUAUUGGAGUUUGGUUAUAUAUUUUAAAAUUUUAAUAUUUCAUAUAUUUGGGAGUAUCUUAUUAAUAGUUAGUAAGAUAUUAGUGAUAAAAUGUGUUUUGAAUAUUUUGUAUUUAUUGUUAAUAUUUGUAAUAAAAUUAGGAUAAAUUAAUUGUUGAAAAAAAUUAUUACAUUCAUGAGGCCCAAUGGGCUAAAAAUUUAAAAAUUCAAAAUAGGCCUAAUAGGCCCAGAACCGAAAAAACCGAACCGAACCGAACCGAUCCGAAAAGAACCGUUUGAGUUCGGUUCUUAUUGAGUUCGGUUCUUAUUCGGUUCUUUUUAUAAAAUAACCGAUUUAAAUCGGUUCUACUUAAUUUUAAACCGAACCGAACCGAACCGUGCCCACCCCUACUUACAGCCGAUUUUUUUUAGUGCUUUUUAUUAUUUUUUGUUAAAAAAAAGUGAAAUUUUUUUUGGAAAAGGGCACUGACAUUUCCCGCGGGCCCACACUUUUCCCAAACUCAUCCAUUCCGCAAAAAAAUUAUAUUAAAUUUAUUAAAACGAUUGCGAUGCUUCUUUUUUCAAUUUGGAAAAAUAUUACGUGUGAAUAAAAGGUAUACAUUGAAUAAUUUUGUUAUUAAAAGGGUAGUUUUGGCAUUUAGAUAUAUUUAAAACUGGGGUGUUAUAUAUUGUACAAAAGGGUAGGCUUAUUUAUACCCAUCAAAUUCAUCUCUAUAUUAUUAUUUUUACAUUGCAUUAUUUUGAUAUUCAUUAACUUUUGUGUUUGGUAAAAAUUAAUUUUUUGAUGUUCAUUAACUUUUAUGAUUGAUAAAAAUUUGUUAAUGUUCAUUUUUAAAUAGUAAAUUUUAUUCGUCUUAAUUAGUAAUACUAAUUAUUUAUAGUUAAAAUAAUAUAUCUAAAUGAAUUGAUGAGAAUUUAUGAAAUUAAAAAGAAUAAGAGACGAAAGAGUUAAUUAAGUAAUUUUUUUAAAAUUAUUUAGAUAAUAAAAUAUUUUCAAUUAAAAGAAGACUUAGAGAAAAAAAAAAUUAAUGGGUUCAAGUAACCACAUUCUAUAUAUAAAAAAAAAAUAGUAAUAAUACAGCCACAAACUCUUGUACAAACUUAUCUUGUACAAACUGAUGUUACAUAAUAAAAUUGGUUGAAUUAAAUAUCUCUUGGUUCACAUGAUUUAUUUAUGUUAUUUUCUAUUUUCAUUCAAUCAAUGAAUUAAUGCCACAUCAGUUUGUACAAGAUAAAUUUGUAUAAGAAUUUAUGAAUGUAUCAUUACUCAUAAAAAAAAAAGGGCAAAAUUAUUACCCAUUCCCUUUAGCCUUGAUAUUAACCCCAUAUGGUUAUUUAGUUUUCUUGUCAUUAUUGCCCCGCCAUAUUUAUAUAAAUUUUCAUUAUUGCCCAUUGCACGUUUUAUGUAAGGGUGUGGAUAUUUCCACCCCACUAUUUUUAUAAACUCACCCCAUCUUCAUAAAAUAAUUACAAUAAGUUCACAUUAUUUUAUAGAAUUACAAAUUAAUAAUAAGUUUGAAUAAUUAAUUAAUUAAAUCAUUCUUAUAAUAUUUUUUUUCUUACUUUGUCUUUUAACAAUCUUUAACACUUUAAGGUUGCUUUAAGAUAAGUUUAAUUUAACUAAUUUAUCCUUAUAAUAUAAAAUAACUAGAUUAACCUAAGAAAUAUAUAUGUUAUUGUAACUAAUUGUUUAGGCAUUUAGUUUUAUAUUUUAUAAUCUAAUAUGUUUUAUAUAAAAUUUAAUAAUUUUCAAUACUCCAGAUGUCUUAAUUACAUCUCGUUAGUUUAGUAGAAUAUUAAUAAUCAUACUAAAAAAGUACUACUUACACAUCAAUAAAAUAUAAAAAAAAUUGUAUAUAAAUUUAUUAAAGUUAAAGUAAAUUUUUAGAUAUUUUUAGUACUUUUACCUUAUGAGGUUAGAAUAAUUAUAUUAAUUUAUGUUAAAACAACCCUAUUGAUAAAAUAUAAUAAAAAAAUAGUCUCAUAAAAAAUUAAUUAAUGAAUAUGGAUUUAAUUGGUUAAAUUUUUAAAUUUCUUCUUAAUUUAAAAUUUUAAAAAAUAAUGUGCACUUGUUGUAAUAAUUUUUAAAAAUUGGAGUGGGUUAAUAAAAUUUAUGGGGUGGAAAUAUCACCAGCCUUUAUGUAAUUGCUCGCUAAAGUUUAUAUUUCCUUCGUUAAGUAACCAUCUCAAACCAAAAUCCUAAUAUUGCUUCUGGUUGUAACUUGCAUGUAAUUCAUACCCAAAGGCUUACGCAAUCUUAGCCAUCUUCAUUGCAUUAAUAUAGAAGACUGUCAAAAUCUUGUUUCUUUCUCGGAGGAUUUGCUUCCCGGCACCAUCAUGGAAUUUUCAGUCCAAAACUGUGAUAAUCUCAAAGGCCUACGAGUUGGCAUGUUCAAUUCUCUUCAAGAUUUACUCCUGUAGCAAUGUCCGGGCAUUCAAUUCUUCCCAGAAGAGGUGUUUAUCCGCCAACCUAAGGUACCUUGGAAUUUCUGGUGAUAACAUUUUGUCCUAGGAAUUAAAUGAUUAGUAACAUUCUACUGGCAAGAUUUUUGAAACAUAAUUUUCCAACAUUUGUUCUGGAGUAAGUUAUCAGAUUUUUUUCUUAUGUACUGAAUCUAUAUAACUCAUUGCAGCCUUAAACGGGAGCCACGCACUGCACACAUCCUAGUCUGCCAUGUCACAUUUGAGUCUUCAAUGGCAGGGUAUCUGUCCGGCAGCUCAUGCUCGUGUCAGCAUCGUCAAAGAAUGAAUGUAGAUGCUGAUUUUCAUAUUUUCAGAAAGGUAAAAGGGCUGCUUAUUUUAGCUUGCCUUGAUUGCAAUUUUCAGACACAGUGAAUUUUGUGAUUCUAGGCCCAUAAAGAUUAGUGCUGUUCUUUGUUGAGAGCAAGGCCCAAUACGAUGCUACUAAUGUUUUUUUUAAUUUUAAUUCUUAUUCAAAGCGAUAAAAGAUUAUUUUUCUUUCAAAGAAAUAGAAAUUGCCUUCCAAUGCUCAUAUAUUUUUUGGUCUUCCAGCAUCUUAUUGUAAUUAAUGCUGUAGUAAAAGUUUUCCAGAUGCCUCAUAGGUCCUAAAGUUUUUUUUGAACCGAUUAAGCAUCAGGUUACUGUUUUACAUAGAGAUAUAUACAACUGCUAUGACAGUAGGUCAUUACACUGAUAUUUAUAAUCAGAUAUAUACAUGAGACUUAUAUUAUUAUAUUUUUAUUCUAUGAAGUACAUGCCCAUCUAAAUACCCCUCACAGAGGAGGGAUGUCUCUACUCCACUCGCAUUUCGCAAGGGAGAAAGACGUUAUAAGAAGUCUCCACACAAUUAUGUUUAAUUGAGGGAGGUUGAGUCCAUGGGGACUCGAACCAUUGCCCUCAUAGUCAUACUUAACUUUGAGGGCAAUGGUUCACCACUGGGCUACAAGCCCAAGUGGCAUAGGUCCUAAAGUUAAAGUCACUGAUCUUGCAAGAGGAAGCCAUAUGGAUCGAGCAAUAGCCCUUUUAUUUCAUAUUUUUCAUCUAUCUAUGCUUAAAUGUUUCUCAUUUUCUUAUAAAGAUGGAAGAUACCACCAGUUAAUCGUACAAUGAGCUUCUAAAUGUAUUACACAAGUACCUGUUGAAACAGUGGAUGGUAGCGCAAUUCACAUAUCCUUGCUGAUUUCCUAAAGCUUGCAGUAACAAACCUCUUAAUCUAUGCUGCUCUACUUUUUGGAUGAAUGCUUCGAUAUUUGAAAUAAACUGCAUUUCAGAGAGUUAGCGAUACUCAAUGAUGCGAAUUAACACUCGUAUCAUCUAUGGGUUGUGUGCAUCCUUCCAACAACAGCCUUAUGAAGAGAUUGGCUUUUGGACCUUCUUACUGUUUCAGACUGGUAUCUGUUAUUAGCCUACCACCACUCUUAUAUUAUUAUGUCAGUGUGCUGAGAUAUGCUUUGUGGGCGCUUGUUUUUUCCCCUCCUCUUUGUCAUGCUCAUAAAGUAAAGAUUCAUUGUUUUUUGCCUUCUUGAUGGGUUUGAUUAAAAGCCAAAUUGAUGAUGCUUAAAGGAAAAUCCAGGCCUUACAGCAAAUGGGGUAUUUUUUUAGAUCAUGCUGGUAAAUUCUUUUGGGUGGAUUUCAGCAAUCUUUAGGCCUUCAAUACAGUUUACUGUGUGGAAAUUAUAUGAGUGCUUGAUUUAAUCACCAAAGCAGCCUUUAGUCAAAGGACUGAUGAAUCUUUGGCUCCUAGCUAGUUUGUUAAUGAAUUUUAGAUUUUCUCAAGCUUUAUUUACCAGUUCAACUUCAAUAGACAAGUGCUGAUAUUAUAUGAGAUCCGUAAUUUAUUGCUUCUUCCCCCCUCCCUCUCUUAAAUGCUUAAUUGUGUCAGAUUCUACAAAUUGUAAUUGCUUUUAAAGCUUCUGAGUUCACAGAUCCUUGAUUUCUCGAGUUACUUUGUUGACAGGGAUUUCACUAACCUUUUUUUUUUUUUAUAACAAAAUGCAUAGAAUUAGUCUUAAAGCAUCAAUAGAAAAUUACUCUAUAACACUGAUGGUACAAACAAUUAAUUAAACCUAACCUAUUGUCACGGGAUGAGUAUCUUGCGCAGCUAACCCGUGCGGCACUUAGACAACUUUGCCGAAUGUUGCUAAGUAAGCCUAUAGCUUCUCGAACUAGAGAAGAGAGCAAUGGAGCCGAAUGAGAAAGCUUGUAUUGCACAAAGAGAGAUUACAAUGCUUGAGUUGCUUACAAAGCUUGUUGUUGUGUUUGUUGGAUACAAAUGCCUAAUGACAUCCCAUAUUUAUAGGGGAGGCUUGACAAGCUCUAGAUAUUCUAGAGAAUUCUACCAUGUGCCUAGAAUUCUAGAUAUUUACAUGUGCUGGAAAUGUAUGGAGUAUUCUAGAAUAUUUACUAGUUUAUUUGUGCUAGAGUUGCCUAGAAUGUUCCGGAAUUGGGCCAAGCUAGCAUUCUUGGCCUUGUGUUGGCUCUCUAGCCCGAAAUUGUGGGCAAUUGGGCUAGCGAAUUGGGCGGACCGUAACAUCCUCCCCCACCUAAGCUCGCGGCGUCCUCGUCGCGAUCUCGUCCUUGCUCCUUCACGGACUUGUUCCGCGAUUUGCCAUUAGUCUUCUUGUGCUUCACUCUUGGGGAGGUUCCGCCACUUGCUCCGCAUGUGGUCGUUUCCUUCUUUCGGUUGGUGUUGCGGCGUCCCCUCUUGUGUUUCCGCAACCCCUUAUGCUCGGAUGGCUUUGUGCGUUGCUCAGCCACUCGUCUCGGUGGGAGCUUCGAAGGCAUAGCGUCCUUACCUUUGUCAUGGACGGCUCGUACUUGUUGUGGGACUUGGCUUGGAGGGCUUUCGGAAUCCUCUCCCUUGUGGUGUUGCCGGAUGGAGACCAAGUGGUCCGGAUUCUUCUUGAAUCCUCGUCUGCACUGCAUGACCGAGAGCGCCUUUUCUGCGGGUUGUGCGCGCUCGACAGGUACCACGCAUGUCUUACUCCCAUCGAAGAUGCUAAGGGAGUUUGUUGCUGGAAGUGGGAAGGCAUGUACCUUAUCGAAGAAUUCCAUGCCAAGGAUCAUUGCGAAGUCAUCCAUCGGCACAAUCGAGAAGUCGAGCUUCCCAUUCCAUGUCCCAAGCGUAACGUGUACGCCUCAUGUGGUUCCCGCAAAUGGCUUGGCGGGUGAGUUUACAGCCUUGAUGGUGCCUCUGUGUUGCGUAACCUUGAGGCCUAGACACUUAGCCUCUUCUUCGGAGAUGAAGUUGUGCGUUGCUCCGGUGUCAAGGAGCGCACGAACGGUUCGGCCAUUAAUGAGCACACUUACGAACAUGAGCCCUUUUCUUGUAGGUUCUGGCGGUUGGCUCACGAGUGUGCUAAGGCGUUGGAGCGAACCCAAGUUGUGUUGAGGUUCCUCCGCAGUCGGUGUGUGUUGGCCUUUGAGUUGUGCCACGAGGGCAUUCAACGACUUUUUCUCUGGGCAGUCGCGCACCCAAUGAGGGCCAUUGCAAAUGAAGCAUGGGCUUCGAGGCUUGGGUGGCUUCUCGGACUUACUUUGCCCGCCCUUGCCGCUUGGAGGCUUUUUCUUGCUCCACUCCUUGCAAUUGCGGUCGUUGUCCUCACGGCUCUCUCCCCCACCUUGGUCGUAGCUAGACCUCUUGUCCUUGAGCUGGGCGGAGUAUUCAGUGAGCGACUCCGCAACGGCAAUAGCGUCGUCAAGUGUUUGAACACCACGCCUAUCGAGCUCGGUCUUGGCCCAAUCCUUGAGGCCAUCUUGGAAGUAGAAGAGUGAAUCCUUGUCGGACAUGUCGCUUAUCUCCAACAUAAGGGUAGUGAACUCGUUGAUGUAGUCCCGAAUGCUACCCGUUUGCUUGAGGCGACGUAAGCGCGCUCGCGCUUCCUUCUCCGCAUUGCUUGGGGCGAACUGCUUACGGAGUUCUUGCUUGAAGUCGGCCCAAGUGUCGAUGGUGCAAAUGCCCUUGCCCAUCUCGCCAUGCUUGCGACGCCACCAUAGUUGUGCAGCGCCUCGAAGAUAGGUUGGUGCAGUGCCCACUUUCGAUGCCUCAUCUCGAACACCCAUGGCAUCGAAGUAUUGAUCAAGCCCAAAGAGGAAAUUGUCCACGAUUGUGGCAUUGCGUGUGCCAUCGUAUGUGUCGGGCUUUGGCGCGUCAAUGCGGCGCGCAUCACUCGAGUUUACGGAAGCUAGACUUGCGGAGAGUGUGCGCUUGUGCCAUGCCCAAUCCGAGCAGACUUCAUCCACUUCCGCACGGACAGCGCGUAGUUCGUCCUGAACAAAACUACAAAUUUUGAGCAACUCAUCAUGGAAAGAACGAAACUCACCUCGGAGAAUGUUCGCUUGCUCAUGGAUGAGAGUUUUUGUGGCCACUGUGAACUCGACGUAUUCUCCCUCAAGACCGUCCACUCUUUCCUCCAAUCCCACGAGGCUAUCUUGAUCGGCGGACAAUGCUAUUUCGAGAGUGCCUACACGAGGCUCCAACGCAUCCACGGAUAGGGCCUUGGACUUGCCGCGAGUCUUGCCUUGGGCGCGAUCUCCCUCUCGGCCGCGGCUUGGUUCCAGUGGAACAUCCACACCAACAACACCCUCUUGUGCUACGUUCGAAGGGUUGGCCAUUGCUUCGUGAGCUAAUUUGCGUGCGUGCAAACCUUAGCUCUGAUACCACUUGUCACAGGAUGAGUAUCUUGCGCAGCUAACCCGUGCGGCACUUAGACAACUUUGCCGAAUGUUGCUAAGUAAGCCUAUAGCUUCUCGAACUAGAGAAGAGAGCAAUGGAGCCAAAUGAGAAAACUUGUAUUGCACAAAGAGAGAUUACAAUGCUUGAGUUGCUUACAAAGCUUGUUGUUGUGUUUGUUGGAUACAAAUGCCUAAUGCCAUCCCAUAUUUAUAGGGGAGGCUUGACAAGCUCUAGAUAUUCUAGAGAAUUCUACCAUGUGCCUAGAAUUCUAGAUAUUUACAUGUGCUGGAAAUGUAUGGAGUAUUCUAGAAUAUUUACUAGCUUAUUUGUGCUAGAGUUGCCUAGAAUGUUCCGGAAUUGGGCCAAGCUAGCACUCUUGGCCUUGUGUUGGCUCUCUAGCCCGAAAUUGUGGGCAAUUGGGCUAGCGAAUUGGGCGGACCGUAACACUAUGCUAUGAAAAUCAUUUGAACUAUGAAGGAGUUUGUUGAUAGCAUGAGCAUCAGAAUGCUCUGCUCACUAACUGCAAUCAGUGCAAAUCAGCAAAUGAAUCUGCAAUAGCAUUAGUUUCAUACAUCUAUUAAGGCUUGAGAAAUCUGAAGUUCAACAAUCUACUCAAAGGAUGACAAUUAGCAGGGAGUCUCAUUGAUGCCGACGAUUCAAUCACCCCCAUAAUUUCUGUAUAACAAACUGUAUUGUGGACUAAAGACUGCCAAAAGCCACCCAAAGAAAUUUAUCAGUAUGAUCCUGGAAAAGCGCCUACUUGCUGCAAGUGCAAGACCAGGAUUUCCUUUCAAAUUAGCACUAUUCGAAUCCACAGAGGAGGCCGUCACAAACCAUGCCUCAACAGCCGAUGUAAAUCCCAUCAAACUAGAUAUUUCAAGCUUAUAGGACUGCCUAGUGAUAAAACCGCCGCGGCCAUAGAUACCAGUCCAAGAGCCAAUCACUUCAUAAGGAUGUUGCUGGAAAGAGGCACACAAGGAGCACACCUUGUAUCAUUGACUAUUCCAACUCUUGGAAUACAUUUAAUAAUCCUGAUAUUCAUCCAACCAUAAAGAAAAACAGAUUAAAGGAUAUUGUAUCCAAGAAAGAAGAAAAAUGAUGCUGGAAAAAUAUGACACAAGUCAAGUUUAGAUUAGGAAAGAAGGCUAAUCACUUACCACAAGCUUGAGAGCAACCACUGUUUUGACAGAUAAUUCUUGCUCAAUCAGGAUAUGCAGAUGAUUCAGAUGCUCUUUGUAUGCUUGAUUGGUGAUUACAGUCUAAUUAUCAGCUCCAGAUAUCUAGAUGGCUUCAGCUGUCUGCGUCUUCCAUCUCGAUAAGAAUGAACAGAAAGUUUUUUCUGGUAUUAUCAAAUUCUAGACCCUUAAUACAGCCAGCACCUCUGAUUAGAAAGCAAACAGCAGUCCCUUAUGGCUUAUCUUGCAUGAAGACUCAUAACUCUUGGACCUAAGAGGCAUCUGUGAAACUUUUACUGCAGAAUUAAAUUACAAUAAGAUGCCUGGGAUACCAAAAAUGUCCAAGCACUGGACGGCAAAUUCUAUUUUUAUCUUUAAAGAAAAAUACUUUUUUUCAUAGUAUAUUAAAAAUAAAGAAGAAUAAAACAAAAUCUUUGAUAACAUAAUAAACCUUGCACCUUCACAACUGAUAAAACCAGAGCCAAAAUGCAAAAAGGUAAAAAAAUAACAAAAGCUCAUAAACCGCAUAACAAAACCAAUAAGAAGGAAGUCAUUAUGAAUUUAUGAAUCAAAUAAAAGCAAAGCAAUAAUCUCCAUGGGCUGCAAAUCUCACUACUAAUGUUAAUUCUGAUUAUUGAUUAUUCCAAUCGAGGCUAACCAAAAUAUCAGCCGUCCUAUUACCUUCUUUAAGAGUAUGAGAAAUCAGCGAUUGAAUUCCUUUCUUAGCGAUGCUGACACCUGCAUGAGACUUGCAUAGCGGAUCAAAAUGUGCAUGGCCAUCAUAUUAAAUUUCAAUGAGUGAUAUAAAUCCAGGACAUAACAAUAACCUGAUAACAUAGUCCUGAACACAUUAACAGACUUAUAUUUCAAAUUUUUUAAAGUAAAAUGUUAUUAAUCUUUUAAUUCCAAGGGUAACAUUUAAUUUGCAGUGUACUUAUUUAUCUUCAUUCCGGGGAUUGGACUUACAGAGAGGUAGAUGACAUUGCAGCAAGAUCCGGUGAGCUUUUCAGCUUUCAGCUGCUACUUUAGUUCCGUCACCAGAUUGUCCACUGCCAUCCUCCAAGUAUCACCUUUCAUUAACUUCAGAAUAUAUGGAAGGGCAAGAACUUCAUUUUAUUACAUUGAGAUACUAUGAAAAUCCAGGCUGAUUGUCCUCCAGAUAAUAAGAUAAGAUGAGGGGACUUGUGAUCUAAGCCAGUCUCAGCAGAUUACUGCGGCAUUCAACCGAAAAUUGUCUCAUUGAAUGGCCGAUUGGUGUUUAAAUUUAAUUAGCAGCUGCAGACAUGUAGAUAGUAUCAGUUAUUUUCGGUCUUGUCAAAUUCAGUAACAUUUAUAGUUGAAAAGAAACUGAAUCAAAAGAGCUAUUGCUAGAUCCUUUAUUAAAUAUACCUGCCAUUUUCGCUACAGCAUUAAAUUACAAUAAGAUGCUGUGAGACCAAAAUUGUAAAAGAAAUGGAAGGCAAAUUCUUUUUCUUGUGUAAAGGAAAAUACUUUUUAAUAGCUUUUAAUAAGAAAAAACAAGAAUGAACAAAAAUUAGCAGUAAACAAAUGAGGCUUAUUCUUUAACAACUGAUAGAGAAAGCCAGAAAACCAGAGCUAAAACUUAAAAAGAAAACCAAAAUAACUCAUUCCUUGGCGAAGUACGAGAUAGAGUUCAUAAACCACACAUCUAGACAACCAAUAAUAGGUCAGUCGAUGUCAAUCAAGUAAAAAGAAAAACACUAAUCUUCUAGACAAAUGAGCGGCACUAUUACCUUCUUGGGAAGUAUGAGAUGUCUGAAUUCAUUCCUUGGCGAAGUCAAUACCACCAUGAGCCGUCUGAUGGAGACACCUAUUGAAGAUUCAUAUCACGGAUCAAGAUAACAAAAUGCUGAUAACUUAUAUCUGAACACAUAAACUGAAAGUUAUUUUUCAAAAAGCUUACAAAACGUCACUUCUAGUAAGUUACUAAUGAUUUAAUUUUUUGGUUAACAUGUAAUGUAUAGUUUACUUAUAUGUACUCAAUCUGGAGAUAGGACUUACAGAGAGGUAAGAUGAUAUUGCGACAGAAGUCCCUUCACCAUCCGCUACGUGUCACAUUCCAUUAAACUCGGCAAAUAUCGAAGAGCAAGGAUUUCAUUUUUACAUUGAGAUAAUCGUCGAACAAAUAUACAGCUUGAUUGUCCUCUUGAUAGUCAUGUCAAUCGAGCUACCUUGUGAUGAAAGCCCAUUUUGUGCUAACUAAUGCUGCAUUCAGCCAAAAAUCUGCACAUCAACAUUCCAGGAAUUACUGUUAAAAUACAGGAUAACAGAUUAAUGCUCCUUUUUGUAUUAUCUAAGUUCAUGAAAAUCAAACUGAUUUCUGGAAAAUAUUUAAAUGAUUUCAUAACAGUAAUCUGAAUUGUUCAGGGGAUAGAAGUUGACAGAGCUGUCUUCAAACACAAGAUUGGAGAGAGCAUUUUCUGGUUCUACGCUCUUCUUUUGUUUUGAAGAUGAAAAUAGACCUUGUGCGUCCUCUUACAGACGGUGAAUGGAUUUGCCACCUAUCAAAACGGAAGGAAUGUGGGCUAUCUUUGGCCACUCUUGUCCUUUGCCCUUUUUGAAUUUGUUCUCCAAUAAAGGACAGCCUUGAAUAUCUAGAAACAAAAGAGACGAUGGAAAGCCUGCCUCCGGGAAGGAAGUGAAAUUUGGGCAAGAGGAGACUUUUAAUUGCUCAAGAGAUAGAAGGUAAUGAAAACCCUUGGAAGAUAGGCGUUCCAAUUUUGGGAAAUCUGAAAUUCUAAUCAAAGUCAGAGAGGUCGGCAAUAUCACUCCCUUCUCUACCUCAGGAAAAGACACAGCAUCUGAGCAUC